GGAAUCUUGCGCAAUGGGCGAAAGCCUGACGCAGCAACGCCGCGUGGGGGACGAAGGCCUUCGGGUUGUAAACCCCUUUCAGCAGGGACGAUUAUGACGGUACCUGCAGAAGAAGCCCCGGCCACCUACGUGCCAGCAGCCGCGGUAAUACGUAGGGGGCGAGCGUUGUCCGGAGUUAUUGGGCGGAAAGAGCUCGUAGGCGGUUUGGCAAGUCGGGUGUGAAAACGCCGGGCUCAACGCGGAGACGCCACUCGAUACUGCUAUGACUCGAGUCCGGUAGGGGAGUGCGGAAUUCCUGGUGUAGCGGUGAAAUGCGCAGAUAUCAGGAGGAACACCGGUGGCGAAGGCGGCACUCUGGGCCGGUACUGACGCUGAGGAGCGAAAGCGUGGGGAGCGAA
rnacentral:rRNA from 1 species